rnacentral:rRNA from 1 species
CGUAGGUAAUCUGCCUUCGGGUGGGGAAUAACCCAGGGAAACUUGGGCUAACACCGCAUAAUGCAGCGGCACCACAUGGUGACAGUUGUUAAAGCGGGGGAUUUUAGGACCUCGCGCCUGAAGAGGAGCCUGCGGCGGAUCAGCUAGUUGGUGAGGUAACGGCCCACCAAGGUAACGAUCCGUAGCCGGCCUGAGAGGGCGGUCGGCCACACUGACACUGACAUACGGGUCAG